rnacentral:tRNA from 1 species
GGGAAGUUGGCUCAGUGGUAGAGUGCUUGCCUUGCAUGCAUGAGGCCCUGGGUUCGAUUCCUCACCA